ACCGUUUUGGCUCAGUGGAUAGAGCGUCGGCCUGCGGACUGAAGGAUCCCAGGUUCGAUUCCUGGCAAGGGCA
rfam:Myotis lucifugus cont2.22076, whole genome shotgun sequence.